UGUUAUUUUUCUUAAGCCCAUUAAGAUAAUAAGUUAUUAAGUUAGUAAGGGUUUUAUGAGAAGGAGAGUUACCAUUUCAUUUGCUGAAUUUUUUUUAAAGAGAAGAGAAAGUGGAGAAAGGAGACUAAGAGAAGAAGAAAAGGGGAAGAACAACAAGGGGCAAAAGCUAGGGUUUGGAGGAGAAAUCAAGAGGUUCUGGAGUUUAGUGGCUGCGUGUGCCUAGCCGGUGGUUCUUCCUUGGUUAUUGGAGACUAGGUAGUGAGUCGAUGCUCUGGUCAUGUAACACUGGGUAGACUAGGUGUAUUGAACUCAUGUUAUGUUUGUGUAUGUAUUAUGCUAUGACUGGUGCACUUAUUUAUUGGUUACAUGUCUUUUGAGAGGCUUACAAGCCAAACCUUUUGAUUAUGUUUUAUGUUGAAUUGAGACUACUAGUCGAUGUAUGAUCAUGGUAUGGGACAUGAAUCAUUAUAAAUCACAUGAGUAUCAUAUAUUUCCGCUGUGAA